rnacentral:rRNA from 1 species
GUGCCAGCCGCCGCGGUAAUACGGAAGGUCCGGGCGUUAUCCGGAUUUAUUGGGUUUAAAGGGAGCGCAGGCUGGUUUUUAAGCGUGCUGUGAAAUGUACCGGCUCAACCGGUGACGUGCAGCGCGAACUGGAGACCUUGAGUGAGUUCGAUGUGGGCGGAAUUCGUGGUGUAGCGGUGAAAUGCUUAGAUAUCACGAAGAACUCCGAUUGCGAAGGCAGCCCACAAGGCCUUUACUGACGCUAAAGCUCGAAGGUGCGGGUAUCGAACAGGAUUAGAUACCCUGGUAGUCCGCACGGUAAACGAUGGAUGCCCGCUGUUUGCGAUAUAGUGUGAGCGGCCAAGCGAAAGCGUUAAGCAUCCCACCUGGGGAGUACGCCGGCAACGGUGAAACUCAAAGGAAUUGACGGGGGCCCGCACAAGCGGAGGAACAUGUGGUUUAAUUCGAUGAUACGCGAGGAACCUUACCCGGGCUUGAACUGCAGGAGAACGAUUCAGAGAUGAUGAGGUCCUUCGGGACUCCUGUGGAGGUGCUGCAUGGUUGUCGUCAGCUCGUGCCGUGAGGUGUCGGCUUAAGUGCCAUAACGAGCGCAACCCCUUUCUUCAGUUGCCAUCAGGUGAUGCUGGGCACUCUGGAGACACUGCCACCGUAAGGUGUGAGGAAGGUGGGGAUGACGUCAAAUCAGCACGGCCCUUACGUCCGGGGCUACACACGUGUUACAAUGGGUGGUACAGAGAGUCAGUGUGCGCAAGCCGCAUUCAAUCAUGAAAGCCAUCCUCAGUUCGGAUUGGGUCUGCAACCCGACCCCAUGAAGCUGGAUUCGCUAGUAAUCGCGCAUCAGCCAUGGCGCGGUGAAUACGUUCCCGGGCCUUGUACACACCGCCCGU